rnacentral:lncRNA from 13 species
AUGACAAGGACUUUAAGACUUAAUUCUAGGCUUCUGUUCCUGUGUCUGGUAUUAGCCACUGUGGAAGUCAGCUCAUGUUUAUCAAGGGGCAAGCGAGCAGUACACGAACAGAGAAGUUCUCUCGGUACACAGGGCCCAAGAAAAUGGAGGACUUUCAACAACCCUUACACAUUUAGCCAGAGCCAUAGUCUUGGCCCAAGCCAACCGGUCCCCAGUAGUGUCCAACCUGACCAGGCUCAGAUUGUCUUCAGGCUGAGACCGGGAGUCCAGACUGGGAGAGAAGGUUCCCCUGAUGGUGAGGAGUCUUCGCCUUCCAACAGUCAAUCUAACAGAUUUUCAAGCAGCUCUGUGCCCAGUAAGACUGUCCAUUUUCGUACCUACCCUUCUAGUGGCCUAGUUAGUCCAAUUGUCCCCAAAACCUGGGGUGCCUCUGGUACUUUUCAUUCAGUCUCAAACCCUAUGAUCCAAAGGAGCCAUGGUUCACAACCUGCCAGGGACACAUUUGGCUCUCCUGUUGAAAACUACCCCAUCCCAGCCCAACAGGCUGAAAACCCUGUGAACAAGAAUGAGAGAUCCAAAUACAGGACGUUUCUGUCUUCCUACCUCUUCAGGGAAUCCCAAUCCACUUCCAGCACCUCUGAAACCACUCACAAGGGCCCUAGUGAAGGAGUGAAGACGAUUAGCAGACUUGGUGCUGCCUCUGCUACCCAAAGUGAAGGAAACUCCAGUGUUCAUGAGUCUGGAAGAUCCACACAUGUCCAAAGGGGUUAUGGCUACAUAGGCUCUCAGUUGUACCCUACAACCAUUAAGUCUGCCAAUGGACAACAAGUGCACCCACCAACUCUGAGCCAAUCCGGUUCUUCUAAAGUAGAUGCUACCAGUGAAGCCCAACAUGCUUCUAGUAUCAACAAACCCUUCCAUCACAGUGCUAACUUUGCUCAAAGUGGAGGUAGCCCUAGUAGCUAUUUCCCUGGUGAAAUGGCUGAUACUCAGGCUAAAAGUGCUUUCAGCAAAAUUCAACCUCUUAUUAGAUUUGGCUCUUUCUGGAACACAAUGGCCCCCACUGCAACUCAACCCACCCAAAGUCCCUCUGAGCCUGCAGAGCGAGAAACUGCCCCUGACCAGUCUUUGAAAACCAGGAGUGGCUAUGUCCUUUGGAAGAAACCUGGGCUAAGCAGCUCAUCCAGUGGUCAGUACGCGUUAGCCACCGGUGGUUACAAACCUGGAAAAUCCACAAAUGUCAAUACACUCGGAGGGUUCCAAGAUCACGAGAAAACGUUGGCUCCCAUCGUGAGUGACGAUGACAUACCCUCUGUUGCCAUCAGAACUUCAGUCAACACAAACACUGUAAAGAGUCAGGGUACUGGCUGGAGAAAUGGUCAUGGUAUACCUAGGGGCAUGAGAAUGAGUUCUGUCAGUGGGUAUCCAGCUGUAUACAGAAAGUAUAGCUUUGCCCCUAGAAUUCGAGUAGCUUCCACUACAACUUCCUCUGCCCAAAGCGAUACUCUAGCCCCAAUGACAUUCAAAUCAGGUCCACGAGAAGUCCAACUUGCGUCCAUAGAAGAUGACCUUGUCACUAACAGCCUGCAUGCCUCCAGCAAUGUCCAGUCUUCAGAAGUGCAGACUACUACCACUGACAUGUCUGGCUCUACCACGAGAUCUGGUAGGCCUUGGUUUCUUAGAUCUACACCUAGUGAGGAUAACGAGGCUAAAAUCGGCCAUGUUUUCAAGGGAUCCCAAACAACCCUACUACAAUCUCCCCAGAGUGAGAGUCUAAAACAUGUUCAGCCAACUUUUAGUCUGUCUGGCAACAAUGUUUUCCAUGACCGUUUGACUGCAGGAGAGGCUAAACCUGGUCCAACAAGCUCGGCCCCUUUCAAGCCUGAAGCUAGAUUCAACAUGUUUGGGUCUGUAAUUUACAGACUGCCCAAAGGUUCCAGGUCCAAACAGAAUGAAUGUGUUCUGGGCAUAAAGCUCCCAGGUGCAACUAGGCCCUCGGGCUGCAAUGUAUCUGCCCCUGCUGAAAUCCAGCCCACCUCCAUUAAUUUGACAACAGCCAGUCAGAGCCAAAAUGUCCACAGUAAAGAAACUUCUCAAAGCAGUGACUCAUUUCACAAAACUGUGAAUCAUUCUAGUUAUGAAGACCCCAAGUCUCACCCACGUGACUCGGAUAGAAAUGAAAUGACAAGCAAUCCCUUUAGGUUCAUAUCUGGUAAACUCUCAAAAAGCCAGAAUAGCUAUGCUUUCAUAGGCUUCCAAAAACCUAUAAGCAAAGCAGGAUCAACCCAGGACAAGGAUGCUGAUCUCUGUGCACAAACAUUGCCUCCCAUCAACAAAGAGCAUCCACCCCCAGUUGUGCCCACCUCUGCCCCCAGUGUCCACCCAAGCCCUCCCAGAAUCCAAGUUCAACCAGACCUAAGCAUCACUGAACUCACAGAGAGUCGCAAACCCACCAGCAGCGUUGUAAAGGGCAGACGUGUGAAGGUGAAGCGCGUGCAGAGCCAACAUAGUAUUUCACCUUCGAACGACACCGCCUCCCAACCAGCCAAGCCCCAAACUAUGAGGUUCAAGGCUAUCCAAUUUGCUGAUAUCCUAGGAAGUGCCUCUUUCAGUGGAAUCCAACCCAGGGGAAGCUCCAGACCCAGUGUGCAGUCAACAUCCAAUACCCCAGCAUCAGGUGAAGAUGGCGGCGCACUGGACAAAGAUCAACCAACACCGAGGGUUGGGGUCACCCCAAGGUGA